AUGCAUCGAGCUGGUUACUAGCCUUCGCCUGCUCUUUGCUCACACUUCUGAAGCACUUGAAGUGUUUGCACUCCUUGCGUUGAGUUAGCUACUGUGAUUCACCUUCUCAAUGCCAUCGAACUUCUGGAAUGCGAGAAGUUUUCACCCCGACUUGGAGUAAUUCUCUUAUAGGUUUGGUCGCCUCUGGGAUUGUACCGUCUUCUCCAUCAACCCUGUCGCCUACUCCACUGAGUAGCAAAGGUACAGCACCGUGUACUGCCUGCUUCGUUCCUUG
rnacentral:lncRNA from 1 species